CCAGUUAAAUUUGAAUUUCAGAUAAACAAUAAAAUGUUUUUUUGGUAUAAGUAUGUCUCAUACAAUAUUUGGCACAUACUUAUGUUAAAAACUUAUUCAUUAUUGAUCUGAAAUUCAAAUUUAACUAGGCUUCCAGUA
rnacentral:miRNA from 1 species